rnacentral:rRNA from 1 species
GUCGAGAAUCUUUCACAAUGGGGGCAACCCUGAUGGAGCGACGCCGAGUGGAGGAUAAGGUCUUCGGAUUGUAAACUCCUGUCAUGCGUGAACAAGGUUGCUUGGAUAAUACCUGAGCAAAUUGAUGGUAGCGCAAGAGGAAGAGACGGCUAACUCUGUGCCAGCAGCCGCGGUAAUACAGAGGUCUCAAGCGUGGUUCGGAAUCACUGGGCGUAAAGGGUGCGUAGGUGGCGUGGCAAGUCAGAUGUGAAAGCCCGGGGCUCAACCUCGGAACUGCAUCCGAUACUGCCAUGCUAGAGUACUGGAGGGGUGACUAGAAUUCUCGGUGUAGCAGUGAAAUGCGUAGAUAUCGAGAGGAAUACCAAAGGCGUAGGCAGGUCACUGGACAGUUACUGACACUGAGGCACGAAGGCCAGGGGAGCGAACGGGAUUAGAAACCCCUGUAGUCC